rnacentral:rRNA from 1 species
UACGAAGGGAGCUAGCGUUGUUCGGAAUUACUGGGCGUAAAGCGCACGUAGGCGGGCUCUUAAGUCAGGGGUGAAAUCCCGAGGCUCAACCUCGGAACUGCCUUUGAUACUGAGAGGCUCGAGGUCCGUAGAGGUGAGUGGAAUUCCUGGUGUAGAGGUGAAAUUCGUAGAGAUUUGGAGGAACACCAGUGGCGAAGGCGGCCCACUGGACGAAAUCUGACGCUGAGGUGCGAAAGCGUGGGGAGCAAACAGG